rnacentral:rRNA from 1 species
GAUGAACGCUGGCGGCGUGCCUAAUACAUGCAAGUCGAGCGAACAGACGAGGAGCUUGCUCCUCUGACGUUAGCGGCGGACGGGUGAGUAACACGUGGAUAACCUACCUAUAAGACUGGGAUAACUUCGGGAAACCGGAGCUAAUACCGGAUAAUAUAUUGAACCGCAUGGUUCAAUAGUGAAAGACGGUUUUGCUGUCACUUAUAGAUGGAUCCGCGCCGCAUUAGCUAGUUGGUAAGGUAACGGCUUACCAAGACAACGAUGCGUAGCCGACCUGAGAGGGUGAUCGGCCACACGGGAACUGAGACACGGUCCAGACUCCUACGGGAGGCAGCAGUAGGGAAUCUUCCGCAAUGGGCGAAAGCCUGACGGAGCAACGCCGCGUGAGUGAUGAAGGUCUUCGGAUCGUAAAACUCUGUUAUUAGGGAAGAACAAAUGUGUAAGUAACUAUGCACGUCUUGACGGUACCUAAUCAGAAAGCCACGGCUAACUACGUG